AUUGAACGCUGGCGGCAUGCCUUACACAUGCAAGUCGAACGGCAGCGGGGGAGAAGCUUGCUUUUCCUGCCGGCGAGUGGCGAACGGGUGAGUAAUACAUCGGAACGUGCCCUGUAGUGGGGGAUAACUAGUCGAAAGAUUAGCUAAUACCGCAUACGACCUGAGGGUGAAAGUGGGGACCGCGAGGCCUCAUGCUAUAGGAGCGGCCGAUGUCUGAUUAGCUAGUUGGUGGGGUAAAGGCCUACCAAGGCGACGAUCAGUAGCUGGUCUGGGAGGACGAUCAGCCACACUGGGACUGAGACACGGCCCAGACUCCUACGGGAGGCAGCAGUGGGGAAUUUUGGACAAUGGGCGAAAGCCUGAUCCAGCAAUGCCGCGUGUGUGAAGAAGGCCUUCGGGUUGUAAAGCACUUUUGUCCGGAAAGAAAUGGCUCUGGUUAAUACCUGGGGUCGAUGACGGUACCGGAAGAAUAAGGACCAGCUAACUACGUGCCAGCAGCCGCCGUAA
rnacentral:rRNA from 1 species